CAGUGGCAGUGGCAGUGCGAGUGCCAGUGGCGGAUGGGAGUCCGGGAGGCCGGGAGUCCGGGAAUGGGCCUGUGAGUGCCACAGUGGAGUGUCGCUGAGCCUUCGGUUGACAGCUGUCAGUGUCAGUUUACAUAAUUUAUAGAUUUCAGCGCAUAAAAAAGUCAUAAAAUUUACAAUGUUGCUUUCAACAAAAACACAUUCGGGCGAUUCUUCUUCUGAUGCCUUAUUUUUAUGAGGCAAGACAUCAAUUUUUCGCACAGCACAGUCUAGCCUGCCUAUGGCCACUACUAUAGGGUACAAUACUAUAUACUGAACAAACACAACUACAACGGAGGGGGACACUCUCAACCAUUUGUAUUUCUCAAUUUUUCGAUUCCUUGAAAUCAGCAGUAGCAGCAGCAACAGCAGUAGAAGUAGAAGUAGAAGGAAAAAGACUCUCCAGCGAUAAAUUCUCGCACUCAACAAAAUACAUAAACGAUUUAUAGUAGCACAAAGCGGUCCAAACAAUAACUAGCAAAACGCAGCAACAAAAGUUGGAAACCGUAGUAGAAGCGGCACACCGGCACUGGAUGCGACGACCCUAAAAGAAUAAAAAAAAAAAAUACAAAAAAGGAUAUCGAUGCUAAAUCCCUCAAGGAAGCAUAAAUCUUUAAUGGAAAACCUUUUGCACCAUGGCGACUUGAUGUUUAUUAUGCCGGAAGUCAGCAAAAAAUAUCAAAUAUAAACUUUGUACAAUAGGAAUGGCUGGCUUUUGGAAAUCAAUAAACUUUUUUAAUUAGAUUAUCUAUUUAUUAAAUAUAUCUAUUUAUUAAACACCAUCUAAUAAAAUUUUCCAUUGCGUACAUAAUUUAUAAGACGGAAAACCAAAUUGAUAAAUAAAAUACUAGUACUAAAAUACCAAGUCCUUUAGCUGGUCCUUUGAGGCCAACUGCUGCGUCUGGCUCCUCGGUGAUACGCCAGGCCUCUGGGUUCUGGCAAUCCUUUAUGAAGUCCUUGAUGCCCACCACGGUGUAUUCGCCGACAUGAUGCAGCCCGUUCUCCUCAUAUGACUUGAACAUAAACAACUCCGGCCUUUUUAUUUUGCCGCAAAAAUCAUAUUUAACUGGAUUCUCUUUGCAAUCAUAUUGCGCUACGCAAAAGUAAUUUUUUUUAGCGUAUAGAUCACCGGAGUCAUUGGACACCUCCGUUAAGAUCUUUGUCAUUUCUUCAUCUUUCUCAUUAUAAUACAAGACAAGCAUAUACUCGGGACGUCUUUCGUGCAGAUAUGUUUGUUUCGUUAUCUGGAAUACCUCGCCCUUGGUACAUACAAUGUCAUCAGCUCGCAAUGAUCCGGGUAACAUCAUGAGUGCGAUGGUGACUGCAACCAGACCAAAAAUAUAAAAAUUUGCGG